AGGCCUAGAAUUUGAACUUGUCCUCUGUUGGAGCAUAAAAUUUCUGGUCCUCCAACAAGUAAUCUUAUGUCCAUGUUGAGAAGCCGAUCACCGUACUUCGCUUGCCACAAAUGAGAGAGAAGGGAGUACCUGCAAGAGAACACGCAGAUGCCCAAAUCAGUGUUUGUUUAUAAAUAUCAUAGUAGUAUCAGAAUAUCCCUUACCCAAGUCCUGUAGUAAAAUAAGGAGCCAGUCUUCCAUGAUUGGAACCAUUGUUUGAAUUAAUUAUUAGUUUGGUGUUUCUGUUUGCUCUUGAUGCUAUGAAUGAAAUAAAAUUUGUUUAACCUUUUAGCAUAUACUUGUAAUGGGAGUUGUAGGGAGGGACUUGUAGUGGAAGUUCCAUUGUAAGCCAAAUUAAUUACCAAAUUAGUUAGUAGAGUGAGAAUCUGGUUGUAUUUAUUAUAUCAUUAAGAGGUAAAUAGCUUAGUUGAUACACAGUUCUUUACAUGGGCCCGGAUCCACUGCAAUUCUUCUCUUUGAUAAACUUGGUCACGUAUCUCUUGCAUGAGUUUCCCAAUUGACUCAUGUUCCAUACCUAUACAAUUUAUGAAGGUAUGGUAAAAAUACCCAUUUUCUCUUUCGUGGUCAUAGACUCAUAGGCUUUAUCUAAGCAUCAAGCGUCACCAACCAUUGACAAAACCACAUACAAAAUAAAGUAAAUUUAGAUUUUAAUCACAAAAAAAAACUUUUAUUUUUGGAAAAAGUCAAAACUUUUUCAAAAAAGACAGAAAAACCUCUCAACUUUUAAAUCAAAAACAUGCAAAUGUAAAUAAUUCCUUAGAAAAUCCAAAAAUAAAUAAGGGUCAUUUUGUCCAUUCUGGCUUCUUUUAAAAAAUUUCUCUCCUCUGGCCUUUUAAGACACAUGUAUAUAGUAUAAUACAUGGGAGAGGGGUGAGGGGUUGGGGAGUUGGGUGCUGCGGGAUGGUGUUAUAGGGAGAGGUGGUUGUGUGCCACGGCAACAAUUUAAUAGGCUUUUUAAUGGAAUCGAACAACAUGGAACUUGAAGUACGAAUUUGUAGGACUAUUCUUGAUUAAAAAAAGCCUCAACGACGAAAGAUAGUUCGUGAAUAUAAUGGAUGUUUUGUGAUAAAAACCUAGCAUAAUAAGUACAUAAGAGAGGUCACAAGGUCUCAAGGAUCAUGCAUUCAAAAAAAAACUCGAAUUCUAAAUCAUUUAACCACUAAUUUAAUAAUUGUCAUUUUAAUAUUUUCUUUAUAAAGAGAAAAGGUCGUACAUGAAAUGAAAAGAAAAUAAGUCAAAGAACAAAAAAGGUGUUAUAAAAAUAACCUGGAAUAUGUAUGAAUAUUGAGCUGCACGUAAAGUAGAUGAGACACAGCAUUUAACGAGGUUCGGCUAUGCCCACGUCCUCGGAGAGCAGCAGCAGUAACUUUUUCACUAUAUAAAGUAAUAGGGCUACAACUUUAGAGUUUACAAUAUGUGAGGCUCACUGAAUUUUCUCUCUCUUUCCUCUUCUAUCUUUCCUCCUCUUUUUCCUCUUCUUUCCUCUUCUCCUUUUCCUUUCUUCUUUUCUCCUCUCUUUUCUCUUCUCCCCUUUCUUUCUUUUCUCCAUUGGUCACUCUUCCCAUUGCAAGUGAUAUGCCUAUUUAUAGGCUAAGGUUUUGGUAAAAUACAGGGAAGGGAAGGUUCCUGGAAGAUGCAAGGAAACUUCCUGAAUUGAUAAAUACAGGGAAGGAAAGUUCCUGGAAGAUGCAAGGAAACUUCCUCUGUGGGCUCCACCUUCAAACUUUUACAACACUCCCCUUUGGAGACCACAAAUGAUAUGGAAUAUGCCUCGUUAAAAACCUUGCCAGUAAAAACCUAGUAGGACAAAAACUGGUCGAAGGGAAAAAGAGUACAUAAUCACGUGUAACAUAAAAUUCUGUGUAUAUUGACGCGCGUGCGACACUGCCUCGUUAAAACCUUGCCAGGGAAAACCCAGUGGGAUAAAAACCUGGACGAAGGAAAAAGAGUACAGUGUGUAAGGGUCUGUAUUGACAGCACGCUCCCCCUGAUGCUUGGCAAAAUAUCUUUAAGCCAUACUGUUGAUCAUCUGUCUGAAUAUCAUAGUUGACACUGCUGCUGUGAGUCAAUAGUGUAUGAAGGUCUUUAUUAAUACCAUGCUCCCCCUGAUGAAUAUCUCCCCCUGAAAACUUCAUGACUAGCUUUUUCCAGUAAGCGACCAUAGAGAUUUCCUGAGUCCGCAUAUCUUAGAACAUUUGGGCUAUUUAUAAGUUCACUAAAAAAUAUGCCCGUAUAUGGUGUUAUGCUUAGAUAGCAUCAAAUAUGCCUCACAUCAUCCCAAAAUGAUGGUGAUGGAGUUGAGCCCUAUCUGGAAAAUAUGAUGUCCGGUCCAAUAUACUUCCGGAAAAUCAUUAAAGUGUCCAACGGAUAAUCCUCAUAAAAAUACUUUAAUACUUUCUUAGUAUAAGCAAGAAUUUCAUUGGCAUAAUGCUCGAUCGAGACAAAUAUUUCAUGAAUUCUGCAGAAGCUUUAAUGUGUUGCAAUCACAUUAUAAUCAAUGUACUCACUGAGGUAAUUUAUGCAUAUUAAUAUUGAGUACAAAUUUUGUGCUUCAAGCACAUGUCCUUUAGGGACUUGCUCUAUGCAAUAUCAAUCCUCUCAACGGAUUUUGGUUAAAAGGGAUUAAACUUUAUGACACAUUAUAUAGCUUUUACCUAGCUAUUUAUACAUCUUUAGGAAAUCGCUUCUGGCGAUAUGCUCUGUGCAUUAAUAACCUUUAAAGAUAAUAUGUUGGUCUCCGUAAUUGUGUAAUAAGGGGGGGCACAAUUGAAUCUGUAAAUAUGGAGAAAACCCAACAUUCCUUGUUUCUGCCAGAAACAGUGUGUCAUACAAAGUAGGUAUAUUCCCUUUUAUUCCGAACACCCAAGUAUAACUUUCAGUAUUAACAAAUUUUGGGGUUCGUAUUGUGGGUUUGUUCUUUCACGUUCAUUCUCAUUUAUAAUGGAAUUACCUCGUUCCAUUUUUGGCCAAUGAUAUUGUCGACAUUUAAUAAUUGAACGUGGUUCCAAUCAACACAGCCCAUUGAUGAUUUGAGUAGCUACUCCAAAACCAAAAAUUGUCAUUCAUUAAUUCAUGAUCCCACCAUUCUCAUGUGCAUGCGCAUGCAUCAAUUAUAAACAUUUCUUUGCUUUUGGGUACCCAAGCCACUUCAUGGGGCUUUUAUUAUGUGAGAAUGUGGAUUAUAACCUCCAAUUAAUGGAGCGUUAUUUUACAGUAGGGCGUGGAUAAUCUCUAUUUAGAGAGUUGGAACAUUUAGAACCCAUAUAUCUGUCAUGUUGCAGGCAUGCCACAGAUUAAUACAUACAUGUCAAUUAAUUUUUGGGACUUUAACCCAUAUGAUGGGACUUUAACCCAUAUAAUUUGCUACGCAUUAGGCGUGCAUAAUAUCAAUAUUGACAUGUCAAAGGAUUGUCCUUUCGGGACUUCAAUCCAUAUCAUUUGCUACGCAAUAGGCGUGCAUCAUAUUGAUCACUGCUAUACCCAUAUUCUGUUCUUAUGGGACUUUAAUCUGUGCAGUGUAUUAUCAAUGUAUCCAACUUGCAAUCUGUAAAAUUUGCGUUAAUAAUUCAUGGAUACAUACAAGCCAUUCUUUUGGAACGGACUUAUCUCCCCAUUUGGUUACCUUUCAAGAUAAAAUAUCAAAUAGGUAUAUAAGCAUAAAAUAACACAAGUAUUGCUUACAUCCUUAGGUGGGAGAAACUUUUCUCAAGUAUCAUUCAAGCUCAUAUCAGCCUAGUAAAUAUAAUGUAGCGCUUGAUGGUCUAGUUAUAUCCUGCAAGAGCAAAAAUCACAAUUCUCUUCUCUGUCAAAAACAAAUAACUCUCAGAGUUAGGAUCACUACAUGGAUUCAUUCUUCAGAUGUUCAUUCUAAAGAAAUAAAAUCUCUUACGAACAGAGAGUUAUAAAAAGAGAAAAAAUGCAAAAAGAUUGUGAUAUUGAUUGCAAGGUAAGGUAAGCAAUCAAGGAAGGAAGCUGGUGGGAGCAAACAACAAGCUCUCAUUUCUCCUAGUCUAGAAAGACCUCAGGAGAUUGGAGCAUAAGGUCACCUUCACAGUUCCCUAAUGUAGCGGAAACAUGAUCAGGGAUAGUCUUGCUUCCUGAAUGUAUGAUCAGAGAUAGUCUUGCUUCUUAGGCAUAUUAAGUGCUCACUGAUAAGAAAAACAAGUAGAUAUCGCAUCACUAGGUAUGGAGAAAACUGGAUGUCUUUUGCAAAGAAAAUUUCGUUAGUAACACAUUUAUACACAAAUACAAUGAAUAGGUAGAACUGGUGAAUUUCAAAUUAACCAUAGGAAAAUUGCGAGAUUCUCGGGAUACUUUUGAAAAAGUAGUUCCGUGAAAUCCGUAAAGCAAGAUCGGCUUUGAAAAUAAUACUUUGAAAAACGCCGAAAGUGCCGACAGGCAUUAUUAGAGGCCACGUGAAGUUUUGGACUCUGGGAAAGAAAAAGAUAAUAUGGGGAUUCGAGAAGAUAUUGGGGUCUUGAAAAGUUGCCACAUUUUCAUCUAUAGAUAUUGCCUUUGCAAACUGCGUUUCAACUCAAUUUCCUUCAUUUUCCGAACCUUUAGUUUUUCUAAGACUUUCUUCGAAACCUUCUUAAAAAAAAUGGCUUCCUCUUCUUCCUGCCCAAAUUAUUUCAAUUUAAAUGAUGCUCCCACAACAACCAGUGACGCCCAAGUUUGGCGUCCAUCCUUUGUAUCCAAAAAUCGUCAUCUCACAGUUAAUGAUUCUGUGAUGAUGAAUGAUGUUACUGCUGUCAUAGUAGCUAGGAAUUUCAUUAUUCCGAUGGAUGAAAUGAUGUUGACAGGGAGAUCAGAGGAAGAGGAUAUUGAUGACUCAAUGGCUUUUAGCAUUCAGAGUGCUGUUUCUGUUUCUAACAUGGCUGAUCGUUUGCGUGCCAGAGCAAACGAGGUUGAGAGGUUAGCUACUGAAAAUUCGUCUCUCCAAAGAAUGCUUCAUGAGUCUCAACAGGAGGUUGAGAAAUUUAAAGGAGAGAAUAAUGCCUUGUUGAAACUGGUGAGUUCGUACUCUGUUGAUACACUGAGAAGGCUAGACAUGCUGCAGGUCUCCAAUGAAAGAAUUUUGGGAGACCACGAGAAGCUCAUGGCUAAGCUUAAGAGGCGCCGUCAUCUUCCUGCAGAGCCUUCCAGAACAUAAUGUAAUUUUUUUUUUAUAGAUUUCACAGGGCCUGCACCUUCAUUGCAGGUGAAAAAAUCUAUCUGUUAUAUGUUCCUGUUAUAAUAAUUGUGCAUAUUCUUAAACUUGCACCUGUGGUUUUUACGUCUUUUCAAAAUGACGAUUUGGAACCUUGUGCCUUAUAGGUUCAAAUAACCACAUCGACUCUCCCAAAUUUCAUAUUUCAACGUAUGGUAGCCCGGAACUUAUGGCCUGGGCACAAACUCAGAAUUUAUUUGCCCUUUCCAAAUGGACAUGAAAUAUGAAUUGAGUAAAAGCCAUGAAAUAUCGCAAUAUAGUAGUGAAGAGCAUUAACUACUAUAUACCCACAACUUCAAGUUUAGGAUCUCUCAUAUAUUUGGAUCCAUGGGCUUCCGGCCCAGAUAUAACAAAAUAUGUAGGGAGUCUCAAUUCAUUAUUUGAGGUUUAUAUUAAUAUUAUCCAUUUCGCGGUGUAUUCUUAACAACCGGAAUUCACAAAAUAUAUUUCUUCCUUGAGGUGUCGAUUAUAACAAAAUCGAACUUUAAAUUCAUCAUCUUCUUAUGCCAAAGAAAUAUGUGGCAUACCACAAUUUGCAAUAAUACCUCAAGGGUUGUCCAUUUAAUUGUUGGAACUUCAGGUUCUCAACACUGUUAAAUUUUGAACUUCAGGCCAAAGCCACAUAUUCUCAUGGUAUGGACAUUUUUACAAUUUUCUGUACAUAUUUCGGGAUUUCAAGCCCUUACAUAAUUGUCCAUAUUUUGAGGAACUUCUGGCAUCUCAUUUAAUUGCACAUCCAUGAGUUUAAGGGACUGCAGGUUCCCUUUUGUAUAUAGUGACGGUUUACCCAAAAUGGUUAAUAUUUAUGCAUACGUCACUAUUCAUGUGAAUAGUACUAUUCAUCAAGUCAUGAAUACAUAUCUAUUCAUCUGCCAGUACAGUUAUCAUCAAUGUGUACGGCACCAUGAACCAAUACGGUACUGUUACAUCAUUAAGGAACUCUAGGUCUUUAUUUACAUGUCGGGAUCAAGGACCUUUAAGUCCAAUCACAUGUUUACAAAUACAGUACCGGAGAGACUGCCAGCUCUCAUAUCAUCAUCAAGGAUCUUCAAGUCCUGAUGUAAUUGUAUGAUGAGGAUCAAGGAACUUCUGGUCCUGAUCUGCAUACUGGAAAAACUCAUCAUACAGCACAAUUAAUCCAUAAAAUAAAUUGCUAAUAAAUAAAUUACUGGUAUGGACGAUAAACCCGCACCACACUUUAAAUAAAUGUAAAUGUGCGGUAAAUUAAAUUCAUAAAAUUAAGGUGCUUGUAUGGGCAUUAAUUCUGCUCCAUAUAUUUAAAUAAAAGUAAAGGCGUGGACGAUAAACCCGCACCACCCUUUUAAAUAAAUGUAAAUGUGCGGUAAAUUAAAUUCAUAAAUUAAAUUGCUUGCUGUAUGGACGUUAAUCCCGCACCAUACUUUAAAUAAAAUUAAAUGUGCGGUAAAGUAAAUUGUGCUUUUAUGGGCACUAAUUCUGCUCCAUACAUUUAAAUAAAAGCAAAGGCGUGGACGAUAAACCCGCACCACCCUUUUAAAUAAAUACUGUUGUAUGGGUAAUAAACCUACACCAUACAGUAAAUAAAUGUGGGGUUAAAACCACCACCGAAUAAAAUAAGAAAAAGGUUAGUAUUAGUAACGGUCUCCCACUGAUAAUAUGUUUAGUAUUACCAAGGGUCCAUUUUUGUUAGUGGUUAGUAGUAUAGAUAAUAGUGCAACACAAAAAUUAUACCUGAGAGCUUCUCGUGCUGAUAACGUGUUAUAAAAAUAACCUGGAAUAUGUAUGAAUAUUGAGCUGCACGUAAAGUAGAUGAGACACAGCAUUUAACGAGGUUCGGCUAUGCCUACGUCCUCGGAGAGCAGCAGCAGUAACUUUUUCACUAUAUAAAGUAAUAGGGCUACAACUUUAGAGUUUACAAUAUGUGAGGCUCACUGAAUUUUCUCUCUCUUUCCUCUUCUAUCUUUCCUCCUCUUUUUCCUCUUCUUUCCUCUUCUCCUUUUCCUUUCUUCUUUUCUCCUCUCUUUUCUCUUCUCCCCUUUCUUUCUUUUCUCCAUUG
rnacentral:lncRNA from 1 species